AUUGAACGCUGGCGGCAGGCCUAACACAUGCGAGUCGAACGGUAACAGGAAGAAGCUUGCUUCUUUGCUGACGAGUGGCGGACGGGUGAGUAAUGUCUGGGAAACUGCCUGAUGGAGGGGGAUAACUACUGGAAACGGUAGCUAAUACCGCAUAACGUCGCAAGACCAAAGAGGGGGACCUUCGGGCCUCUUGCCAUCGGAUGUGCCCAGAUGGGAUUAGCUAGUAGGUGGGGUAACGGCUCACCUAGGCGACGAUCCCUAGCUGGUCUGAGAGGAUGACCAGCCACACUGGAACUGAGACACGGUCCAGACUCCUACGGGAGGCAGCAGUGGGGAAUAUUGCACAAUGGGCGCAAGCCUGAUGCAGCCAUGCCGCGUGUAUGAAGAAGGCCUUCGGGUUGUAAAGUACUUUCAGCGGGGAGGAAGGGAGUAAAGUUAAUACCUUUGCUCACUGACGUUACCCGCAGAAGAAGCACCGGCUAACUCCGUG
rnacentral:rRNA from 1 species